rnacentral:rRNA from 1 species
CAGCCGUAAACUAUGCGCGUUAGGUGUAUCGGUGACCACGAGUUACCGAGGUGCCGAAGGGAAACCGUGAAACGUGCCGCCUGGGAAGUACGGUCGCAAGGCUGAAACUUAAAGGAAUUGGCGGGGGAGCACCACAACAGGUGGAGCCUGCGGUUUAAUUGGACUCAACGCCCGGGAAGGCUCACCGGAUAGGACAGCAGAAUGAUUGCCGGGCUGAAGACCCUGCAUGACUAGCUGAGAGGAGGUGCAUGGCGUAGACGUCU